rnacentral:rRNA from 1 species
UGGGGAAUAUGGGACAAUGGGCGAAAGCCUGAUCCAGCCAUGCCGCGUGUGUGAAGAAGGCCUUUUGGUUGUAAAGCACUUUAAGUGGGGAGGAAAAGCUUAUGGUUAAUACCCAUAAGCCCUGACGUUACCCACAGAAUAAGCACCGGCUAACUCUGUGCCAGCAGCCGCGGUAAUACAGAGGGUGCAAGCGUUAAUCGGAAUUACUGGGCGUAAAGCGCGCGUAGGUGGUUAUUUAAGUCAGAUGUGAAAGCCCCGGGCUUAACCUGGGAACUGCAUCUGAUACUGGAUAACUAGAGUAGGUGAGAGGGGAGUAGAAUUCCAGGUGUAGCGGUGAAAUGCGUAGAGAUCUGGAGGAAUACCGAUGGCGAAGGCAGCUCCCUGGCAUCAUACUGACACUGAGGUGCGAAAGCGUGGGUAGCAAACAGGAUUAGAUACCCUGGUAGUCCACGCCGUAAACGAUGUCUACCAGUCGUUGGGUCUUUUAAAGACUUAGUGACGCAGUUAACGCAAUAAGUAGACCGCCUGGGGAGUACGGCCGCAAGGUUA